rnacentral:lncRNA from 13 species
CUGCAGACAAGUCUUCACAACUAUGACUUCGCAGCCACUGGCUUUGCCAAAGUCUGACAACUUUGCUAAUAGAAGCAUUUUUUUUCCUUAGGAGGAAUCUUGAAGCAGUAAAGCAUUCAGCUUUAUAUAUCAGAGAAGAAAUACGUUUCAAGAGAGCCAGGAUUCCACCUUCAGGCAAGAAGAUUUUAUUCCUAUUUUGCAGAUGAAAUAGCUGAGGUCCAGAAAAGUUAAACACCAUGGUCAAAGUCCUCAGUCAUGUAAGUAGGGGAAGUUUUUUACCUUUUUAAAAAAAUUCAUUGCUAUAACACCUAACAUACUACAUGGCUUGUAUCAGUCAGACUAGCCCCAAAUAUCAAUGUCUUACAUCAGUGAAAGUUUGCUAUUUGUAGCCCAUGCUACCUCAUCCAGGGCUGUGGGUUUGUUUUAGAUGUUUUUAUUCACAGGCACAGAUUGACUGAGGUACAUCUAUUACCAGUUCCAUUGCAGAAGAAAAAAGAAAUUAUGAAAAGGCACAUGCUUGUUCCCAAGCCAUUGCUAGCAAAUUACACACAUCAUUUCUGCCCAAUUCAUGGCCAAAGCAACAUGCAUGACCAAGCCUGAUAUCAUAGGGUGGAGAAAAUAUAAUCCAUCCCAAAGAAGAGCAGCACACUGUGAGGAAUGAUAUAAUGUUCCAACUUGCCCUUUAAAGUGGGUUCUAUAGACCAACCAAUUGAUAUCACCCUGGAGCUUAAAUGUGUAUUCUGAGAACUUGCCCCAUGCCUGCUAAUCUGAGAAUGCAUUUUAGCAAAAUAUCCAGAUAAUUCACAUAUCAUUAGACUUAACAGAAACACUGGUCUAACACAUUGUCCAAAUGUUACUGUUAUGUAUUCAAAAAUAUGACACUUUUUGUUUUGCUAAUUUCUCAUCUUACUUCUCUUUCCAGCAUUUUUCACAAAUUUAUAGAAAGGCUGUGUGCAGAACUGGCUCCCCUUGAUUUAAAGUUUCAUACACACUAUAAAACCCCACGCUUUACAAACUUUAUGAGGGACAUGGAUGGAGCUGGAAGCCAUUAUCCUCAGCAAACUCAUUCAGAAACAGAAAAACAAACACUGCAUGUUCUCACUUAAAACUGGGAACUGAACAAUGAGAACACACUGAUACAGGGCCGGGGAAAUCAACAAUAUCAAUAACAAAAAUAUUGAUAACACAUUUGGGCCUGUCAGGGGGUGGGGAAAUAUUUUUCCUAAAUAUUUCCUAUUUAGGAAAAGUAGCUAAUGCAUGCUGGGUAAUGGGUUGAGGGGCAGAACAAAUCACCAUGGCACACAUUUACCUGUGAAACGAACCUGCACAUCCUAUACAUGUACCUUGAAACUUAAAAUGAAAAAAAAAGAGUUAGGGGCAGGCAAGCUUGGAGACAGAGCCGCCAGUCGGUGGGAUAUGGCAUUAUCCCUAGGUAGACAGCAUCAGAAUUGAACUGGGGACACCCAGCUGGUAUCCCCUACUUGGCAUGUGGCGAAAUAAAAACCCACACCUUUGGUUACA